AUGCUGUCUCUUCCCCUUGUAGGUCCAUAUCAACUUUACUCUCAGGUUUUGUGUAAUUUCAGAAGGGACAGGAAAGAAAAGGUAUCUUGGCAAGACCUUCUUUUAUUGAUCCAUUCAUUGAUUCACCGAAUCAUUCAAGAAAACUCCUCUGCUACGUGCUUUGCUAGUGGCAACAGGUGGAAUCAUGAGGUGGCCAGGGUUCGGGGACAAGCUCUGAAAGCUGUAGAGUGCCAACCAAACACGAGUGGUCUCGGUCUCUGCAGAGGAAAGAUGAAACAGUGGGAGUGUGUGCUCUGCCAGCACCAUCUCUGCUUCUUUGGGUCUUGAUGAGAAGCAGCAAACCGGAACCUCUACACCCGGAGGCAGGAACCGGCCCCAGUGUGUCACCUGCUGAUCAGCCUCAUAUCCCGGCCCCCCAGCUGGAGAGACUUUCACUCUUUGAAACCUCUUCAAAUUAUUGUGGGAUAUGGAGAAUAAACACAUGAGCCCUUGGGCCGGUUGCCA
rnacentral:lncRNA from 12 species